rnacentral:rRNA from 1 species
AUUGAACGCUGGCGGCAUGCCUUACACAUGCAAGUCGAACGGCAGCGGACCUUCGGGUGCCGGCGAGUGGCGAACGGGUGAGUAAUGUAUCGGAACGUACCUUUCAGUGGGGGAUAACGUAGCGAAAGUUACGCUAAUACCGCAUAUUCUGUGAGCAGGAAAGCAGGGGAUCGCAAGACCUUGCGCUGGUUGAGCGGCCGAUAUCAGAUUAGCUAGUUGGUGAGGUAAAGGCUCACCAAGGCGACGAUCUGUAGCGGGUCUGAGAGGAUGAUCCGCCACACGGGAACGGGGACACGGUCCAGACUCCUACGGGAGGCAGCAGUGGGGAAUUUUGGACAAUGGGGGCAACCCUGAUCCAGCCAUGCCGCGUGAGUGAAGAAGGCCUUCGGGUUGUAAAGCUCUUUCGUCCGGGAAGAAAUCGCAUCAGCUAAUACCUGGUGUGGAUGACGGUACCGGAAUAAGAAGCACCGGCUAACUACGUGCCAGCAGCCGCCGUAACAC